ensembl:lncRNA
UUUGUGGAUCUAUGCUGUUAAAAUGGCCUCGCUGAACUCCUGCAUUGGGCUGGAUUAAUGAAGAGGUUCCUUUUUUGAUAUGUGUGUAUUAGCUUCCUCAUCCUGUGUUCCCUGUGUAUUGUGGGCCAAGAGGAUAUCUGACUGCGGAAUAUGCCAGACAACCAGACACAGGUAUUAUUGCAGUGUGUGGCACAUCGGCCAUCGACCUGGCUGUCUACACCGGAUACAACUUACUGAUCCUCAACCAGAUCCGGGACAAUGUGGACUGUGAGGUGAUGCUCACCUCAGUGAACCCUCCUGCCUCCCAGACAGAGAGGGAAAAGCAUGUGGGAGUAACUGAUUGUGUGCUCUUCAAAUGUGGAACUUUUAGAUGGCGCUCCAUAGAUCACCACCAUGCCAGAGAACGGUGCAGCCAAAAGGCUCGCUUCUACUUGCCGGCUUUCUGCUUCAUUGAGCGACUGAAUGACACCAUUUCCAACUGGAACCUACUGCACCUGCAGCACACCUGCAGCACCUCAAGCGGUGCAGCAGGAAGAGGAGUGUGGGGCACAGUUGGUUGCAUCACACAGUGGUCUUUGCUCACAUGCACCAUGAAGAGCAAGGCAGAGAGCUGUACCUUCAAUUUGCAUCUUUUUUUGUGUGCAGAUGAAUAGAUAAAGGAGUCGGAUAAAAGUCCUGCACUCUUACUAAGUGUUAAUAAAAGUAAGCAUUAGAUGUUUUUUAAAGCGAUGUUUAUGUACCGCACAUGUUUAUCAGGCAUCGUCAGGUAAAGAAGUCACAUGACAUUGUAAUAUGCACAAUUAAAAGAAUAGUUGGACAAUAUUUCGUGAAAUGCACCAAAUAACCUUCUGGUUGAGACAGAAAUGUAAGGAUCAAUAACACUGUGAAGAGUGGAAUCGAAAGCUACAGUCUGCAGCCAGAUCGCUAAAGACUGGAAUGUUUGCGCAGAUCAAUGUAAUAAGAUGUCUGAAGCAAAGAUACAAAGGGAAAGAUGAAUUGCUGGACAUGACCUUUCUACUUUUGUGUUCACACCAAUGUUACAUCCUGCACAGAAACCAUAAUUUAUAAUAAAAUAUUAAAUAAAUGAUGUAUAAUUUAUUUUUCUGGUUUUCUUUAUGGAUUAAACAAGCAAGAUUUCAUAUGUUAAGUAGUGAGUUGUAGAGAUGCUGAUGGAUGGAUUUUUUACUGUGGACGGAGACAGUCAAGCUCUUUCUCUUUGUUUACAGAUUUCUCGCUACACUAAACUAAGUGGCUGCUGUCUGUAACUUGCUAUUUGUGAUCCAUCUCUUGGCAAGGAAGGGAAAAAAGCCAUGAAAAAAGCCAAUACAGAGAAAAAUAAUAUAGCAUAUUAGAAUAUAUAUAUUAUACAACUAAAUUCUAAACAUUGAAUGAAAUGUAAUGACAUGACUCAUCGAG